CGUCUGCUGUCGUCAAGUGGAAUUUCCGCGACGUGACACGACGCAGCCGAGCAUCCAUCAACAAAACACACGGCGACAUUUCGGUUCCUUUUUUUCUUUCAUCUUUUUGGAAACGGAAAACGAUAAAGAAAAGAAGAAAAUAGAAGAAGAUGCCUUCGCGUUUCCUGACCCUUUGGUCGAUGCUGGCCAAGCCCAGCCAGCAGUCGACGUCCAGCACCAAGAAGAAGAAUAAGAAAGACACUUUGGCCUCGUCACAACAGGUUCACUACCAACCUGGCUUUAUGCCGGUCAUUCCGAUCUAUGGCGAAGAUAUGGCCACCAGUGGCAGCACCAGAAGCGUCCGCGAUAAAGGUAAGAAAA